GUCCACGCCCUAAACGAUGUCAACUAGUUGUCGGGGAAGCAAUUCCUUGGUAACGCAGCUAACGCGUGAAGUUGACCGCCUGGGGAGUACGGUCGCAAGAUUAAAACUCAAAGGAAUUGACGGGGACCCCGCACAAGCGGUGGAUGAUGUGGAUUAAUUCGAUGCAACGCGAAAACCUUACCUACCCUUGACAUGUCCAGAACCCCGAUGAAAGUUGGGGGUGCCCGAAAGGGAAUUGGAACACAGGUGCUGCAUGGCUGUCGU
rnacentral:rRNA from 1 species